CAAAAUUAGGAGCAUAAAGUAUAUACCUAGUUGUCUUACUACUAAAGAGCAAGUCCCAAAAGCAGUAAGUUCCUUCAUUUCAUCUUGUCAUUACUUUGCUACCAUCCCCUAGCCCAGCCAGAUGAGUGAACAACUAACAGAAAUACCUUUUCUUUCCUUGUCUCUUCCAGUGUUCUCACAUAAUCAUCUUUUAGGUUUUCUAAUUCAACCUGGUACCUAUUAAGCAGAAGGAAAUGAAACAAAAA